UGAGACAUAGGUCACAAGGCAGA
rnacentral:piRNA from 1 species